GACGAACGCUGGCGGCGUGCUUAACACAUGCAAGUCGAACGGAAAGGCCCUGCUUGCAGGGUACUAGAGUGGCGAACGGGUGAGUAACACGUGGGUGAUCUGCCCUGCACUUCGGGAUAAGCCUGGGAAACUGGGUCUAAUACCGGAUAGGAGCCAUUUUUAGUGUGAUGGUUGGAAAGUUUUUUCGGUGUAGGAUGAGCUCGCGGCCUAUCAGCUUGUUGGUGGGGUAAUGGCCUACCAAGGCGGCGACGGGUAGCCGGCCUGAGAGGGUGGACGGCCACAUUGGGACUGAGAUACGGCCCAGACUCCUACGGGAGGCAGCAGUGGGGAAUAUUGCACAAUGGGCGCAAGCCUGAUGCAGCGACGCCGCGUGGGGGAUGACGGCCUUCGGGUUGUAAACUCCUUUCGCUAGGGACGAAGCUUUUGUGACGGUACCUAGAGAAGAAGCACCGGCUAACUACGUG
rnacentral:rRNA from 1 species